CCCAUUUCGCGAAGGAAGUUCUGAGCGGAAUCAGGUGGCCGCAUAUGUUGCGAGCCAGAUAGGGCAGAACGCGCAAGUCCGUGCAGACCACGGCAAGUCGCAUUUGCGUUGCUCGAGGCGCAACCGAUACCGCCGAAGAGCCCGCCGCCCGAAGGCGCCCGCGUGCGCAUGAAAAAAGGCCUUCAUCUGGCGAUGAAGGCCUUUUACU
rnacentral:ncRNA from 1 species